CUCCGCGCAGUUUUGUUUUUUGUCGAUGCUUUCUUCUUCUCUUUCCUCUUUAUGGUCGGUUGUGUUGUUCUUCUCCGCCACGUCGCCGUUGUUGUCGGUGGCCUCUGGUUCCAACCGUUGAUGCUUCAUCAUCUAUCCGGUAAGGCAGUCGAGCUUGCUGAAAUAUGAGAUUGUCACAGUUUCCUUCUCAAAUUCAUGUUACGGAGAUCUUGUGAGUUGAAGACGGUAAUAAGUGAAUAACAAUUCAAAUAAUGGUGUGAGGUUAAGGAAGCAGAUGAAGAUGAUGAUAACACCAAUUAUCCCGAUUUCCGUAAGAUAAUGUGAGUAUCGGCAUAGUGAAUAUGCUCGGAUGAACCCGACAUAUUGUUUUUACUGGAUCAAUGGAAACUGCUUGAAUCCAAAAUGCUCAUUAGCCAUACUCCUUUAGAUGGUUUGGUGGGAUCUCAAGUUGAUGGGUCGUCUGCUUUUGACCUCCUGGCCCAUCUGUGCUUUCAGCUCCUCAAAAUCCAAUUGAGCAAGGAGUCCCCUGCAUUUUCUUUCAGAAGGGAUAUUUCUUAAAAUAUGACAGAUAUGCUUUCUUCCAUGGUCCAAAUCUUCCUACUACAAAGAUUCAACAGGUUCCAGCCAGCACUGCUACCUCUGAGAUCAGUGAGUCCCAUACCUAUAUUGAGCAUUUUGAUUUAAGUAGAAUUUAUUGUUGUUCGCUAUUUACUCGGUCGAACUACCUUGACUAGGAAUAAUGCUACUAGCCUUGUGCCAAUUUCAAUAACAGUGAUGAAGGAUAUUGACACCUCCUCGAGUCAAUUAUAAUAUAGAAGGAUGGGAUCACGAGACAGAUUUUGUUACGUUUUUGCUGGGAUAAUGAGACAAAUCUUUUAUUUGAGCUAUUUCAGCAAAUGUUACUUAGAAAUUGAAGUUGUUCUCUAGAUAGAAACUACCUAAUUGGCUACCUAUAAACUGCAUAAAACAUUAAAACCUAAUAGGCGGCUAAAUCUGAACUACAGCAGAACAAAGAGAAACAUUUCUCACUUUUCAGAGCAAACCUCUCUUCUUAACAUUGUGCAACACGUUUGACUCCGUUACCUAGUCCACUGGUGCUCUGGUAUCCACCAAUUUUCCUGCUCCAGCAGCAGCCACCAAAGUUGCAGUACUAGCAGUCAAACUAGCAUUUAUUGACUAGCCUUAGCAUCACUGUUCUUGCUCUUCUCACUGUUUGUUGUGCCAAUAUAAUUAACUUCUCAUUCAAUUGUUCCUUCUCUUGUUGCAGGAUUAGCUUUGUGCUUUGCAUAAUAGUUUGUUAUCAUAUUUUGCUUGCAAAGUGUGUGUAAUUAGGAGUGAAACUGGAUUUGACCCAUAUGAUAGUAUAUGUACGUGCCAAGACUGCCCAACCCCUGCACUAUUGUCAUUAUGUGAAUAUGUGAUCUCAAACUAAUACCAGUGUUCCGUGAGUUAGUUCCUAAUGCAAUUUUGUUUGACAUUAUUGCCUUAGCAAGUUCCAUUGACAUCUUGAAUCUUGAUUUAUUUAUCCUUUGCAUCAGUUGGUGAAGAUGGUUGAUAAAUGCCUUUCUAUCCAUCUCUUGGCUUUGCCUGGCCUUUUGAAGUUACAGAAUACAAACCAUAAGCCUGAUAGUCUGAUACUUAAGUGAUUAUCCUCCGAAUUGUCCAUAACUUGCUUAUUGCUUUAGCUUGAUGUUUGUGAUCAACAAUGAUGCUGGUUAGCUGCCACGCUCAGUGGAAGAUGAUAUCUCCUGAUUCCUUUCUCUUUGUGAUGUUUCUUACGUAGUAGUUGAUAAUCUGGUUUACUGUAGACUUACAUUGUAACACCCAUAUUUUUAAGCAUGUUUUAUUAUUCUGUAAUUACGAUUGUUAACGUAAUUACGCCCUAAAUUUUUCGAUAUUAUUUUAAUUAUCGUAUUAUGUCUACUCUUUUUUUUGUGACAUAAUUAUUUAAGCCCAAUUGUUAUUGUUCAAGAUUUAUUUCUUCCAUUUCUCAAGUUAAAAAGGUCGGAAUACAGUCUGAUUUUUCUUUCCAAGGAAUUAAAUUAAAUUACAUUUACAAACUCGAAAACCGAUUCGCUCAUUUUCUCCCUCCUUACCUGCCGUUUCGGGAAGCCAUGGGGCUGCUGCUGCCGCCUCCUUUUUCCACCUCAACAACCACCGUGCGCCUCCGGAGCUCCUCCGUCUUGGUGUCGCCUUUGAUGAUGUAGCAUCGCCUAAUUGCAAGCUCCCCUCUUUUUCUCUGUUCUUCUCUACUGCUAAUCUGCUAUGCUACUACUAUUCUCUUUUGGCAAAUAUAACCCAAUAAGGUUUAAAGUGGGCCAUGGGAGAAAAAUUCAAAGUGGGCUUUUGCAAGUAAAUCACGGAUAAGUAAGUACAUAUUGACAUAUUGUGAGUAAUUACUUUAAGUUAGAUAUUUAAUUAAAGAUUCCUAUUUAGAAAAUGACUAAUGUUUAUUAUUGCAUGUAAUAAUGAGGUUGGUUGGAGUCCAAUGGAAGUUUAAUGCCGUGGAGUGGGCUUUUGGAAAUAUAUUGUUGAGGGAAUAAUACUAUCAUUAAGAAAUGGAAUGAUCGAAUGAGAAGAGCUGCUUGGUUGGUUUCAUGUUCCCAGACAAUCGAUGCAAGUCCUGCUAAGUGCCGAGUUGCAAAACAUUUGAACUGAUGUGAAAAUUGAGUACUACAGUACACAGAGGAUAUAGUUUGAAGAAGGGCAUGCUGUUGAGACUCUUGAAGAAGCCAAAUCUGCUCUCCAGCAAUUAAUAAAGAAUGGUCAGAUUUACAAUUUUCAGAAAUGAACAGAGUGAAAAAUUUAUGAUCUAUUAACUAUGGUGACUAUGGCGGCGUUAUAGACGGAGGUUUUCAAAACUCCAAGGGAGGGGCCCUUUACCAAAGAGGAGUUGGAUGAAGUUCGAGACAAGUGGGCUACUUACUUCAACGAUUGUGAACUACCCUCAGUGUAAUAAAUAGAGCAGGCUUGUAGUUAUCCGUGUCUCUUACAUUAUUUUGUUAUUUAUCGAUUUAAUUAAUUACAUUUGAAUUAAUUCGGUAAUAUUAUUGGAAAUUUGAAAUUUAUAUCAA